rnacentral:rRNA from 1 species
GACGAAAAGGACGAACGUUAUUCGGAAUUACUGGGCUUAAAGGGUUCGUAGGCGGCCUUGUAAGUGAGAUGUGAAAUCCCUCGGCUCAACCGAGGAAGUGCAUUUCAUACUGCAAGGCUUGAGGGAGACAGAGGUAAGCGGAACUGAUGGUGGAGCGGUGAAAUGCGUUGAUAUCAUCAGGAACACCGGUGGCGAAAGCGGCUUACUGGGUCUCUUCUGACGCUGAGGAACGAAAGCUAGGGGAGCGAACGGG